ACCUGUCACAAAAGAAGCAAAAGGACUUAAACUGGGCAUCACCUUAGCAUCCCCUGGUCAGUCCGGAGAUUAUGAGUACCCAACUUGAGCUGGCAAAGAACUUCAAGGUAUCUUCUAGUUCCUCCAUCCCCCAACUCCUGUUGUCCUGCCUGCAAUGCUCAGACAUCUCUCCCUGUCCUUCAUGUGCCAUGGAGGCUGAUUUAUUGUAUAAGAGCACGAAGGGCAAAGAGCUAUCCUACACCUGGUGACUAGUAAGAGAAACCAGGACCAUGCCUGUCCAUCACCUUUGCCAAAUGACAACUCCUGGUUCUCUGGAACUCUCCAAUAGAUGAGGAAAAUAUCUUCAAGAGCCCACAUGCAUGAUGCGGAGUUUGACACAAAUCAAAGCCGCCUCAGGAAAACACAACCUGAAGGUCUAUUUUCUACUUUCCCUAUAAAUUCUCCUGGAUUCUCUUCUGCAACUUGGAGAUGGAAGCAAAAGUGCUCGACAGAAGCAUUGAAGGAGAAUGCUUGAGAUUACUGGUCUCAAGAUCUCAUCUUAUGGCUUGCUAGCUACAUGACUAAGGGCAAGGAACUCUGCCUCCAUCUGUCACUACUGCUCUGCUACUGUAGGGACAAGAAGAGAAUCUUAAAAUUGCACAGUUGCAAGUAAAUAAGAUGAAUUAAGUUGAGAAUAUAGCAUCUUGUAUAUAGAUUAUAUCAUACAAUCAAUAUUUCAUGCAAUUAUUUUAAUCGCUGUUAUCAUCACUACCAUCACCACCACCACCACCACCACCACCACUACCGUUAUCUUCAACGAUAAUCGUUGACUGAAUCUGCCUUCUAAAGUGUUUCAGUCUAAUUUACUGGCUUAAUUUAUUUCUCAACAUAUAGUGUACAAUACAAAUGGUACCUGGUAUAUUUAAAGCUGAUGAGAGACCACUGGAUAUGGAAGACAUUGUCGCUGACCACAUUGGGUUUACUGUCCUUCACCAGGAACUGAAAACUAUCCAUCACUUUCUGGAUCUUCUCCUCAUACAACACAUAACGAAUCAACCCCAAGUUCACAUGCUCUGUGAGAAAAACAGAGUCCCAGAAUCCACUGUGAGCGAGUGAGAAGGUUCCUGAGAACACACCCUGGGUGAAGGUGGCUGCCGCUCUGCCCGGCUGCAGCUUGUUCUCCAGGUAGCCAUGCAUGGGGCCUGUGGUGACCUCAUAGAUAAGCUGUGAGUCCUCUGUGUCUGGAUCCACGGUCAGCAGUUCCUUCUUGGUGAUCAGAUGUUAUCCGUUGUAGCUGGGCACCUGCACGCCCAGUUUGAGACACUAUUUCCCAGCUUGCUGUGAAACAUCAGUGUGCAUCUGACCAAUUUCUUGCCAACAGAAUAUGGGAUACUGACUCAUUUCUGUCUGUGUAGUCAACAACAGGCACUCAGCAAUGGGCGACACCAUCACAGUGAAGAGCCUACAGCGGUAAGGGUCAAGCUAAUCAGAAGCAGCUACAGUGGGAAAAGGACAAAGUGAUAGCCUGCCCGGCGUCGCCACCGAACAGAUAGAGCAGAUGCACGCAGGGCAGAGGAAUCCCAAAAGCCACUGCAGAUGUGAUGAGCAGCCCAGGAUGGCCUUCUGGGUCUCUGAAGGACACAGGCUGAUGUCCUUUCCAGGAGUGUAAUCGUCUCCCACCAGUGAAGGACAGAAACUCACCAGGAGCGAGAAAGACCCUUUCUGUCCUGGAGGAACAGCAGGCUCUGUGCACACCGUUCUCCAACACUGCUUCUGUGGAGCUGGACAUAGGUGUGUAGGGUGUUGGGGUGUCCCCAGCCCACCCUCUACCAGAGAUGCAGUGACUCCAGGGGGAGUUCAUGGAAUGGCAAGUUCUGUUAAUGAACAAAGUACUGAGCAAAUGGUACACAAGGCGGUGGGUAAGGAGUUCACACAUACGUCACUUGUGUGUGUGUGUGUGUGUGUGUGUGUGUGUGUGUGUGUGUGUGCAUGUAGAGCCAGAAGUCAACCUCAGGUAUUGUUCUUCAGUAGCUAACCUGGGGAUUGCUCAUUAGAUUAGGCUGGCUCUAGAGAUGAGCCUGUCUCUGUCUCCCCAGUGCUGGAACUACAAGCACACCCCACCAUGCUAAGCUUUACUCAUUGGUUCUGGAGACUGAAGACAGGUGCUCAAAACCACACAGCAAAGGCUUUCAAACUCAAAUCAUCUCCCCAGCUCCCUUUCCCUCAAUCUUGGAAAGAGAAAACCUGGGAAGUCGCUCAACCUCAAUAGCAAGGCAUCUUAUAGGAUACACAGGCUGAUCCUAAAAUGGUAAUGAUGAAGAUGAAUGUAGACAUUCUCUGAUGUUUCUGUGGGUCUGCCAUGGGACAGAGGACCUCAUGAACUUAGGAGAGGAGGAACUACCUCCAUUUCAUAGAUAGGGAAGCUGAGGCUUUCAAAGGAACAUGACUUACAAAGACACUCAGCCAAGUGGCAGAGCCAGGACUAAAACUGGUAAAAAUCCUCUUGAGAGCGAGAAACUCUCAGUGACUGGUUGGAAUGAGGAGUCUUAGAACACACACACACACACACACAC